AGUGAGGAAUAUUGGUCAAUGGGCGAGAGCCUGGACCAGCCAAGUCGCGUGAGGGAAGACGGCCCUACGGGUUGUAAACCUCUUUAGCCGGGGAGCAAUGCCGGGCUCGGGAGCCCGGAGGGAGAGUACCCGGAGAAUAAGCAUCGGCUAACUCCGUGCC
rnacentral:rRNA from 1 species